UUGAAACAAUCUCUACUGAACCAAGCUCCAAAGCGAGUUCACUGGAGUUUGUUUCAGUA
rnacentral:pre_miRNA from 1 species